UACGUAGGGUGCAAGCGUUAAUCGGAAUUACUGGGCGUAAAGCGUGCGCAGGCGGCUUUGCAAGACAGAUGUGAAAUCCCCGGGCUCAACCUGGGAACUGCAUUUGUGACUGCAUGGCUAGAGUACGGUAGAGGGGGAUGGAAUUCCGCGUGUAGCAGUGAAAUGCGUAGAUAUCGAGGAGGAACACCGGUGUGCAGACGGCAUCCUGUGGACCGUAACUGACGCUGAGACACGAAAGCG
rnacentral:rRNA from 1 species